UUUGAUUCUUGAUAUUCUGAGUCCCAGGAC
rnacentral:piRNA from 1 species